rnacentral:tRNA from 1 species
GGUAAAAUGGCUGAGAACUAAGCGAUAAAUUGUAAAUUUAUUAACGAAUUUAAAUAAUUCUUUUACCA